GUUGCUCCUCUAUUAAAUUUAUAUACCCAAAGACUUUGUACAAUGCUAUUGCAUCGUUCUUCGGGAGCGCGAGUACAAGAUACAAUUAUAAAAGGUUUAUAACACAUUGUAAAUAUAACACGUUUGAAUGUGUGUGAUCCUAAAUUGAUGUAUAUCUUUAAUUAAUUCCUAUGCUCACCUAUUCCCAGAACUUAGGAACGGAAUAAACAUAGGAAGAACGUUAGUGAGGUUAAGUGCGCCACGUGCAUCUCGGAAACAAACAUCGUACAUUGCUGUGUGUAUUGUGAAAAUGAGUACGUCAAGCUUCGCACAAAUCGAAACUCUUCACGGAGACAACUAUGACACUUGGAAGUUACAGAUGAAAGCAGUGCUCAUAAAAAGCGAUAGGCAAUACUUAGGCGGCGAGUGCGUAAAACCAAUGCUGGAAGUCGGAAACACGGCAUCGGAAAAGGCUGUAAAAACGUGGAUAAAAAAUGACAACAAAGCAAAAUCAGAUAUCAUAUUAUCGAUAAAACCAUCUAAAUUGAAGCAAAUCUAAGGAUGUGUAACGUCCUGCGAAGUAUGGGUGAAGCUAGAAAACAUGUAUCUGUCGAAGGGAGACCAUACUUCUGAAACAGCUCAUGCUUCAGCACAUGGAAGAUGGAGAUGAUGUACGAGAACAUGUGUGAAAAUUUUUUGAUAUUGUCGAUAAACUGGCUGAAAUAAAUGUAGAAAUUAAUUCGGAAUUACUCGCGAUCAUGCUCUUGUAUCGUUUACCACCCUCAUUUGACAAUUUUCGAUGCGCCAUCGAAUCGCGCGACGAAUUACCGUCACUGGAUGUGCUUCGAACAAAGAUUAUGGAAGAAAGUGAUACUCGAAAACAAAUAACACAUGCGGCGCUAUUCAAAACGCGAUGAUAGUAAAGAAGAGAGGAAAUUCGAAUAAAGACAGCAAGAAAAUCAAAAUCGGGAAACAAAGAAGAUUUUGAGUUCCAUUUUCACUGGUGUAAAGAAAGGUCAUACAACCAUAGAUUGCAGAAACAAGAGACACGAAGAUUUCCAACCGUCGGUGAAUACCAAACACGCUCCUACACGGUGAAAGUGUUUUCGGAUGCGCAGAAAGCAUUUCAAGUGAAUCGGCGACUUUUAUUAUUUGUUAGAACGGAUUGAAUACAAUAAAAUCUCAGAUGAUGCAUUAAAUGCUUUGAAAACUCUAAAGGUGUAGCAUCAUCGGUUCGGCCAUUUAAAUGCGCUGGAUAUAGUGAAUGGCUAGCCUUCAAGAAGGAUUAAGCUAUUACAAUUUAACAACAGGAAAGAAUAUCUGAGUAAGGAGUUUGAAAAUUUCUUGAAGAAGAGUAGAAUUUAGUGAAAACUUUUGAUUGCAUUUCAAACAAAAUGGAACAGCAGAUUGUCUACUCAUACAAUCGGAUCUUCCUCUUCAUUUUGGAUGGAAGCCAUAUCAGUAGUUAGCUGCAUCAGAAACUGUGUAACAAAAGGUUUCGAAAGUCGUGCUCCAUUCGAAUUAUGGAUCGGAAGAGCGCCUGAGUAAAUUAUUUCAAAGGAUUCGGUUGUAAUGUGUAUUGUCUCAAUGGAGUUUCUAGCAAGAAGAAGUUCGAGGAUCGCACUAGGAAAGGAUACGCCAUGAACUCGAGAAGUACCGAAUGUAAUUGCCUGAGAAAAAAAAAUUGAGGUUAUCAGAAACAUGAAACAUGUUCUUAUAGAAUCGCGAAGACUUAUUAGACACGUUUUUGAGAAUUUUACUCGGAAGAUGUCGCGGUUCAACAAAAGGAGGAUUCGGACAUUCUUGAUACCGCUAUAAUAAAAAAACAAAAAUCGAGAUAAAACUAAUACAAAAGAACCGAGAUAUAUUCCUGAAUAAUAAUGUAAUCGAUCAUAACUUGGAGACGAAAAUAAUCUCAAGAAGAAGACUAGAACUGCGCGAAGAAGCGGAGAUCGCGGACGCUGAGUCAAUUCAUCUUACCAAAGUGCCUAUUAAAAAAGUUAUUAUUUGCAUAAAUGUGUGCGAUCUUAAAUUGAGGUUUACGUUUAAUCGUCUUCCUUACGCUCACUUGCUUACAAAUUCAAAUUAUAGAAUUGUGAGAAAAUAUACAUUUACAUAAAAAAAUCUGAAAAAAUUAAAUUAAAAUAAAAUAAGCCAUUUUUUAUAAUAUGAAAAAAACAGUGUUGUUUUUUUGAAAAGACUAUGCAAUUCUGCAGUAAAAAAGGUUAAUUGGUUUUUGAUAAGAUUUAUAAUAGGAAGUAGGAAUUGAUCAAAUAGCAACUAUCUCAAAAGUUAAUAAUAUUAAAAUAAUAAAAAAAAAAAUUAAAUGUAGAGUAAUAAGAAACAUGCAUUGCCGCAGUACACGAGUCAUGAGUCAAACUUGGUUGUGUCGAUCCUGAUCGCACGAAUUUCAUGCGCUCCCAUACAUCAACUUCAAUGCCUCACCAUUCAAAUUCUAUUCAUCGGAUUACUUUUUUGUAAAAAACUUUUUGGCUUAAAAUUUCAUGAAGAAUCUGUCAUUAAAAACUUUUUCGCCAGUUCUGGGACACCAUGUAUGUAUGUAUAUAUAUAUAUAUAUAUAUAUAUAUAUAUAUAUAUAUAUACAUAUAUAUAUUUUUUUUU